rnacentral:rRNA from 1 species
UGCCAGUAGUCAUAUGCUUGUCUCAAAGAUUAAGCCAUGCAUGUCUAAGUAUAAAUAACUACACAGUAAAACUGCGAAUGGCUCAUUAAAACAGUUAUAGUUUAUUUGAUACAUUAAAUGGAUAACUGUAGGAAACUAGAGCUAAUACAUGCCAAGGUCGUAAGACUGCAUUUAUUAGAUAUACCAAGACGGUGAAUCAUGAUAACUUAGCAAAUCGAAACCACGUUUCGAUAAAUCAUUCAAGUUUCUGACCUAUCAUGCUCUCGAUGGUAGUGUAUUGGACUACCAUGGCAGUCACGGGUAACGGAGAAUUAGGGUUCGAUUCCGGAGAAGGAGCCUGAGAAACGGCUACUACAUCUACGGAAGGCAGCAGGCGCGUAAAUUACCCAAUCCUAAAUCGGGGAGGUAGUGACAAGAUAUAACAACGCGACUAAAAAUCGCGAUUGUAGUGAGGGUAUUCUAAACAUAGCUUCGAGUACGAUUGGAGGGCAAGUCUGGUGCCAGCAGCCGCGGUAAUUCCAGCUCCAAUAGCGUAUAUUAAAGUUGUUGCAGUUAAAAAGCUCGUAGUUGGACUUCAAGAAGCGCAUCUGGGCAACCGGUAUGCCUUCUACCAGCCCUAGGCCGUUACUGUGAGAAAAUUAGAGUGUUUCAAGCAGGCUAUUGCAGGAAUACAUUAGCAUGGAAUAACGAAUGUGUCUACAAUUUGGUUGAUUGUAGGUUACAAUUAAUAGGGACAGUUGGGGGCAUUAGUAUUUAAUUGUCAGAGGUGAAAUUCUUGGAUUUAUGAAAGACUAACUUCUGCGAAAGCAUUUGCCAAGGAUGUUUUCAUUAAUCAAGAACGAAAGUUAGGGGAUCGAAGACGAUUAGAUACCGUCGUAGUCCUAACCAUAAACUAUGCCGACUCGGGAUCGGUGAGCGUGUUUUUUUACUACCUCAUCAGCACCGUAGGAGAAAUCAAGGUUUUUGGGUUCUGGGGGGUGUAUGGUCGCAAGGCUGAAACUUAAAGGAAUUGACGGAAGGGCACACCAGGUUUGGAGCCUGCGGCUUAAUUUGACUCAACACGGG